rnacentral:lncRNA from 1 species
UGAGCAGAAGCGGCCGGGUGGUCCUCCUGGGUGCCUCAGGGGCCCGGGGAGCAUGGGUCAGGGCGAGUGGCUGCUCCCUGGCCUCAGGUUAUCUGGGUGCCCGGUGAGUGAGGCAUGGCAGGCGAUACCGGACCCCACCCACCGCGUAUACCUCUGGAAUAGCGAUUGCCAUGAUUGAUGUCAGUAGCCUGGGCUGGGAGCCUGCAGGUAAUCAGAACUGCGAAGAUGAUUGGGUCACAGCCAGGAGACUGAUUUUGUAUCCAGAAGUUUCUGUUUCACAAUCACUAAACUACUCAUGCUCAAAGAUUAGUGUCAACAAGAAAUAAACAGACUCUGAUACCGAUAUAAAAUGAACGCGCGUUCAAGAUUUCCUUCAACUCAUUGUUAGCGCAGAAACCGGUAAGAUGUGCCAGCCAGGUCAAAGGAGAAGUGACAAAGGCACCUGUGUACGCGGAGUAAAGGGAUACAGGCUACAACUGAAAACACCAGUCAUAUUACCAAGGCUGUGACCGAAAUCGUGUCUCUGAGAAUGUGCCUCAAGCGUUCCAAGCCUGGCCGGCCGCGCUGGCUCACGCCUAUCAUCCCAGCACUUUGGGAGGCUGAGGUGGGAAGAUCACCUGGUGUCAGGAGUUUGAGACCAGCCUGGCCAACAUGGUGAAACCCCAUCUCUACUAAAAAUACUAAAAUUAGCUGGGCGUGGUGACAGCCGCCUGUAAUCCCAGCUACCUGGGAGGCUGAGACAGGAGAACCGCUUGAACCCGGGAGGCAGAGGUUGAAGUGAGCCAACAUCGCGCCAUUGCGCUCCAGCCUGGGCAACAAGAUCAAAACUCCAUCCCCCCUCCAAAUAAAAAGAAAGUUCCCAGCCUUACAGCGAGAGUAAAUAAAAACUGUCACCAUCUGGCAGGCCCAGGAACCUCAGGGCUAUCGGUCAAAUCUAAAGCCUGCCUUGGUUUGGCUUCUUAGCCUCAAGAGGCCAUUAAAUCUGAGAUUCCCAUCUGAUCAACAUAGGGAGAAAAGCUUAUGUUUCUAAAGAAAAGCUGUAGGCCUGGGUGCAGUGCCUCACGCCUGUAAUCCCAACACUUUGGGAGGCUGAGGUAGGAGGAUCACUUGAGCCCAGGAGUUCGAGACCAGCCUGGGCAAAAUAGAGAGACCCUUAUCUCUAUACUUUUUGAAAAAGGAAAAGAAAAGCUAUAAUACAUCUGUUAGGAGAUUGUAGCUCUGGGCAUUGUAUUUGAGCUCUUAUAUCUACCUACAGACUAGACUAGAUCCUAAAUUCUUCUAGAUUCCUUCAGUCAAAAUUUCUUCCAUGGAAUUACUAAAAAUAAAAACUGCUCUGUUCCUAAAUCCCUAUAAACUGAAACUAGAUGAAUUUUAAGGAACAAGUCUCAUAUCUGACAUAUGGGCCCCACAGGAGUUCACCAAACCAUCCAAUGCCAUAACCACAGACAUUUCACCUGCAAACCAGGCAGAGAAGCUGGCGUUUUCACACUGUAGCCAGGGCUUCCAGUUCAUCGGGACGAGAUUCUGUAUCAGAGACGCCCUCCCUCUUACCGUCUACCUGCUCGUGCCACAGGAUCAUGGUCAUUUAGUUCAUUCAACUGGUGAUCUUAAGCCUAGGUUUGUAGCUCAAAACUGUUAUGCAAACUGGGAUUUUCAUAUUACUAUUAAUUUUACUUUGUAUUUUCCCUUUUUAAACUUUGUGCCUGUUACUUGUUAAAUUUCUGCAGAUGUACACCUCCUAACUGAACAAUGCUGGACCGGCUCUUUGAGAUGAUAGCAAAGACUAUGAAACAAAUAAAACUGAAAUUAAUAAUGGACUCCA